UGGGGAAUAUUGGACAAUGGGCGAAAGCCUGAUCCAGCCAUGCCGCGUGAGUGACGAAGGCCUUAGGGUUGUAAAACUCUUUCGUCGGGGACGAUAAUGACGGUACCCGAAGAAGAAGCUCCGGCUAACUUCGUGCCAGCAGCCGCGGUAAUACGAAGGGAGCUAGCGUUGUUCGGAAUCACUGGGCGUAAAGCGCACGUAGGCGGAUAGUUAAGUCAGGGGUGAAAUCCUGGGGCUCAACCCCAGAACUGCCUUUGAUACUGGCUGUCUCGAGGUCGAGAGAGGUUGGUGGAAUUCCUAGUGUAGAGGUGAAAUUCGUAGAUAUCGAGAGGAACACCGGUGGCGAAGGCGGCCAACUGGACGAAUACUGACGCUGAGACUCGAAAGCGUGGGGAGCAAACAGGAUUAGAUACCCCCGUAGUCCCUGAGCGGGCUGGCAAGGCGCAU
rnacentral:rRNA from 1 species